CUUACACUAGUUACCACCUCCCCCUGUGCCAAUACACCAUAAAAACAACAAAAGGUUAUCUUGACUGGACCCACUGUCCCUUCAGAGCAAGCACAGCCGGUGGUCACUCACAGUGCAGCAUUUAACUUGAUUAACCCACAGAAUACAUUUCAUACCUAACUAUACUUUAUAGAGCUGCUGCUGUCUGUUGACCCGCAGCUGCAUAUACAGACACACACUGAAC